rnacentral:rRNA from 1 species
UGUUUCGGCUAGGGGGCCAUCCCGGCUUACCAACCCGAUGCAAACUGCGAAUACCGGAGAAUGUUAUCACGGGAGACACACGGCGGGUGCUAACGUCCGUCGUGAAGAGGGAAACAACCCAGACCGCCAGCUAAGGUCCCAAAGUCAUGGUUAAGUGGGAAACGAUGUGGGAAGGCCCAGACAGCCAGGAUGUUGGCUUAGAAGCAGCCAUCAUUUAAAGAAAGCGUAAUAGCUCACUGGUCGAGUCGGCCUGCGCGGAAGAUGUAACGGGGCUAAACCAUGCACCGAAGCUGCGGCAGCGAACGUAUCACUUAAAGCGAUUCAGCGGGUUACGAUUGACGGAGCGAAGCGACGUCAAAGCGUAUACAAAGUCGAGUCGGUUUAAGGAUACGUUCGUUGGGUAGGGGAGCGUUCUGUAAGCCUGUGAAGGUGGCCUGUGAGGGUUGCUGGAGGUAUCAGAAGUGCGAAUGCUGACAUAAGUAACGAUAAAGCGGGUGAAAAGCCCGCUCGCCGGAAGACCAAGGGUUCCUGUCCAACGUUAAUCGGGGCAGGGUGAGUCGACCCCUAAGGCGAGGCCGAAAGGCGUAGUCGAUGGGAAACGGGUUAAU